UCCUUGCUAAAGCCGAGAAGCUCACAUUUGGUCAGAUUACACUGACCGAUAGCAAACACAGCGUGACCGCAAGAACUUUGCUCUUUCUCAGUGAGAAGUUUGGAGAAUAGCAGCCCCUUCAUAACCACCUCCCUUUAAGUGCUCAUCAACCAAAGAGGAAUUACAAAAUCCAUUCUUCACCGUGGAACAGCACUCAAUUGUGAAUCGUGAAAACUCUUGAGCAGAGAAACCGAGCCGAAAAUGUUCUGCAUCUUUGUUCUGAUAGCCCUGCAGUUGGAUCCAGUUGCACCCCACACUGCUCUGUCGAUGCCUUCGGCUACUGUCCUCAGGCAGGAGGAAGGAUCAGUGACAUUCGAGUGUUUAAGUUCUAAUGAGAAACUCCUUAUGAAGUGGGGAUACGUGACUCCCGGCUCUUCAGAAACCAAGUGGCUCAUGUACUGGAACCCGGGAGAAAAAAAGGCGAUUCGAAUGCCAGGGAUCGAGCCUCGUUUCUCUCAAUCCAAAAGCAGCAAAUAUGGUCUAAAAAUCGAUGCUUUGAGACUGGAGGACUCCGCCACAUAUUACUGUCAGAGUGGGGAGGAAGGAAAUGAUUGGUGUGCCUGUGGAACCACACUGAAGGUGAAAGCAACCAUUUUGCCAAGACCACCUUCCGUGCAUCUCCAUUAUGUACUUCCUGAGAAAGAUUUCCAGCAGACGGAUAGCUCGCUGCUUUGUGUGUCAAGAGAUUUUUACCCGGAGAAUAUAUCGGUGUCUUGGUAUGAAGGGGGCAGAGAGACAUUCUCAGGCAUCACACACUUACGUAGACUGGUGGAUUCAAAUGACCGUUACACUAUGAUUAGUAAAUUGACAAUUUCAACAUCUCAAUGGCUCAGUGGUUCUCGUUACUCUUGUAUUGUUUCACAUGAAGCCUUGCCUUCUCCACUCAUCAGACAGAUCAGUAAAAAUGAUGGUUUCAUUCAGAAGCCUGUGAUCCACCUGAUCGCUCCUCUGUCUGAUGCUGCCUCUGCAGGGCAGAACGUUACUAUGACUUGCUUGGUGUCAGACUUUUACCCUGCCGAUAUUUCUGUGACUUGGAGAGAUGAGAAUGGCCCAGUGGACACGGGAGUGACCCAGUUUGCGGUGGCUUUGGGCAGUACCAGUACUUACCGAACAGUGAGUCAGUUGACCGUGCCGACAACAGAGUGGGAGAGUAACCGUACUUACUGGUGUGAAGUGAAACAUGUGUCCCUGGGACAGGCACUGCAGAGAGCUGUCACUAAGGAUCUGCACAACGUCUACAUUGUGAAAUCCAGUGGAGUCCCAGCGGGGGCGUCGGUUAUGUUGUGGAUUCUUGCGGCUGUGGGCACUCUGAUUUUAGUUAUUCUCGCUGUUACCCUCAUCUACAAGAAAGCCACUUCUUCCUCCCGCACUGGGACCGAUCGAUGAAUAGAAAAUGGGGCAAGUUCUGUACAAAUCACAGCACCUAAUUGGACAAUCAGCAAG